GGCUUGUUGAUUUUAAUUUCAGGUUUGACCUGCCCAAUGAUAUUUAUUUAAUGGCCGCAGUAUAUUAACUGUGCAAAGGUAGCAUAAUCAUUAGUUUUUUAAUUGGAAGCUUGUAUGAAGGGUUUGAUGAAAAAAUUUCUGUCUCUAGAGAAAUUUAUUAGAAUUUUAUUUUUAAGUGAAAAAGCUUAAAUUUGUAUGGAAGACGAGAAGACCCUAUAGAGUUUUAUAUUUAUAUUUAAUUAAUAGAAUUAUAUUAAGUAUUUAGUUGGGGUGAUAGAAAAAUUGAUUUAACUUUUUUUUUUUUGUACAUUAAUUUAUGAUUAUUUGAUCCUGGGUUUAGAUUAUAAGAAGAAACUACCUUAGGGAUAACAGCGUAAUUUUUUUUAGAGUUCUUAUCGAAAAGAAAGAUUGCGACCUCGAUGUUGGAUUAAAAUUAAUUGUUGGUGAAGAAGUUUACAAAUUAGGUCUGUUCGACCUUUAAAAUUUUACAUGAUCUGAGUUUAAACCGGYGYGAG
rnacentral:rRNA from 1 species